rnacentral:rRNA from 1 species
UACGGAGGGAGCUAGCGUUGUUCGGAAUUACUGGGCGUAAAGCGCACGUAGGCGGCGAUUCAAGUCAGAGGUGAAAGCCCAGUGCUCAACACUGGAACUGCCUUUGAAACUAGAUUGCUUGAAUCCAGGAGAGGUGAGUGGAAUUCCGAGUGUAGAGGUGAAAUUCGUAGAUAUUCGGAAGAACACCAGUGGCGAAGGCG